CCCGCUGAACUUAAGCAUAUCAAUAAGCGGAGGAAAAGAAACUAACAAGGAUUCCCCUAGUAACGGCGAGUGAAGCGGGAAGAGCUCAAAUUUGUAAUCUGGCACCUUCGGUGUCCGAGUUGUAAUCUCGAGAAGUGUUUUCCGCGCCGGACCGCAUAUAAGUCUGUUGGAAUACGGCGUCAUAGUGGUGAGAACCCCGUAACUGAUGCGGAUGCCCGGUGCUCUGUGAUACACUUUCGAAGAGUCGAGUUGUUUGGGAAUGCAGCUCAAAUUGGGUGGUAAAUUCCAUCUAAAGCUAAAUAUUGGCGAGAGACCGAUAGCGAACAAGUACCGUGAGGGAAAGAUGAAAAGCACUUUGGAAAGAGAGUUAACAGUACGUGAAAUUGUUGGAAGGGAAACGCUUGAAGUCAGACUUGCUAUUUGGAGUUCAGCCGCAAGGUGUAUUCUGCAAUUUGCAGGCCAGCAUCAGUUUUGAGGGGUGGAAAAGGGUACUGAGAAGGUAGCAGUUUCGGCUGUGUUAUAGCUCUAUACUGGAUUCAUCCUUUGGGACUGAGGAACGCAGCACGCUUUUUGCAAGGUCUUCGGGCUUUUCGUGCUUAGGAUGCUGGUGGAAUGGCUUUAAACGACCCGUCUUGAAACACGG
rnacentral:rRNA from 1 species